GGCAGGAAAAGAAAAAUGGUGGCCACAAAUAUAAGCAGAAAAUUUGGACGAGAAGGUUAAGGAAAGCCCGUGUGUUGGUUUGAAUGAGAAUGUCCCCCGCAGGCUCUGUCAUUCUGCCCCAGUUGGUGUCGCUGUUCAUGAUGUGUAAAUGUAGUGUCGCUGAAGGAGGCAUCCACCUUGGAACAAGAUCGCCGAGGCAAAGAGUUUGAGGAAUGUAUCUCAUCUCUCAUCCCUUCUUCUCUGCCUGCUUCCUGGCUGCCAAGAGGUGACCCCUCAAACCCCAAAGGGGCCACGACCCACAAGUUGAGAACCGUUGCUCUAGAGCACUGGACCAAUUUAGGUUCCCUCGGCUUUCUGUCCAUUCCUAAUUGUGACUGUUGCUUGCCGUCAUGCCUCUCUCCUCCAGCAUGGACUCUAACCCUCUAGAAACUUCAUAUUUCACCUCAGACUAUGAGGAGGAAACAACGAAGUCAUAGAGUCCGUCUGCCUUUCCUGAUUCCCCAGCUAUCAGCGGCACAAUUUUCACAUGAGGCUUUCUGAGCCCCUGAAAACCGCGCUGCUUCACGCCCGUCUCUUUGUGGAUUCCAUCUGGAGAGCCAACAUGAUCACUGCCUCUUCGUGGAGUGUCAGCCUCACAGUGUUUUACUGAUACAGAGAAACUCCUGUGAAUGGAAUAAAAGCCUCGAAAUCCAGAAUACUCACUCCCCAUGUGAGGCCACAGCACCAGAUCAUAGCAGCGACAGUGGUGGGCCGAGAGGGCGUGGUUACCGGGAAGGUCUGUUGAGUGUCUUAAAUACUCUUCCCUUAGAUGUCUUCAUACAUUUUAAGGGAGUGAGCUAGCAGCAGUUAUAUUUUUUAUUAUUUUUUUUGAGAUUAUAAUCACAUCAUUUCCCCCUUCCCUUUCCACCCUCUGAGCCUUCCCAUAUACCCCUCUUUGCUCACUUUCAAGAAAAUGGUCCCCCUUCCUCUAUUAACUGUCAUUUCAUGCAAAUAUGUUUAUGCAUAUAUAUUACUAAACAUACAAAUACAACCUGUUCUGUCUGCAUAA
rnacentral:lncRNA from 1 species